rnacentral:rRNA from 1 species
UACGUAGGGUGCAAGCGUUGUCCGGAAUUAUUGGGCGUAAAGAGCUCGUAGGCGGUCUGUCGCGUCGGAUGUGAAAACCCAGGGCUCAACCCUGGGCCUGCAUUCGAUACGGGCAGACUAGAGUUCGGUAGGGGAGACUGGAAUUCCUGGUGUAGCGGUGAAAUGCGCAGAUAUCAGGAGGAACACCGGUGGCGAAGGCGGGACUCUGGGCCGAUACUGACGCUGAGGCGCGAAAGCUAGGGGAGCAAACGGG